rnacentral:rRNA from 1 species
GACAGCAGCAGCCGCGGUAAUACGUAGGUGGCAAGCGUUGUCCGGAAUUAUUGGGCGUAAAGGGCUCGCAGGCGGUUUCUUAAGUCUGAUGUGAAAGCCCCCGGCUCAACCGGGGAGGGUCAUUGGAAACUGGGAAACUUGAGUGCAGAAGAGGAGAGUGGAAUUCCACGUGUAGCGGUGAAAUGCGUAGAGAUGUGGAGGAACACCAGUGGCGAAGGCGACUCUCUGGUCUGUAACUGACGCUGAGGAGCGAAAGCGUGGGGAGCGAACAGGAUUAGAUACCCCUGUAGUCCCUGUCUCUUAUAC